rnacentral:rRNA from 1 species
AUUGAACGCUGGCGGCAUGCCUUACACAUGCAAGUCGAGCGGCAGCGCGGGGGCAACCCUGGCGGCGAGCGGCGAACGGGUGAGUAAUGCAUCGGAACGUGUCCUCUUGUGGGGGAUAACCAGUCGAAAGACUGGCUAAUACCGCAUGAGAUCGAGAGAUGAAAGCGGGGGACCGCAAGGCCUCGCGCGAGAGGAGCGGCCGAUGUCGGAUUAGCUAGUUGGCGGGGUAAUGGCCCACCAAGGCGACGAUCCGUAGCUGGUCUGAGAGGACGACCAGCCACACUGGGACUGAGACACGGCCCAGACUCCUACGGGAGGCAGCAGUGGGGAAUUUUGGACAAUGGGCGCAAGCCUGAUCCAGCCAUGCCGCGUG